GUUUGUGUAGCUUAAUUAAAGCAUGACACUGAAGAUGUUAAGACAAACCCUAGAAAGUUUCACAGACA
rnacentral:tRNA from 1 species